GACGAACGCUGGCGGCGUGCUUAACACAUGCAAGUCGAACGGAAAGGCCCUGCUUUUGUGGGGUGCUCGAUUGGCGAACGGGUGAGUAACACGUGAGUAACCUGCCCUUGACUUUGGGAUAACUUCAGGAAACUGGGGCUAAUACCGGAUAGGAGCUCCUGCUGCAUGGUGGGGGUUGGAAAGUUUCGGCGGUUGGGGAUGGACUCGCGGCUUAUCAGCUUGUUGGUGGGGUAGUGGCUUACCAAGGGUUUGACGGGUAGCCGGCCUGAGAGGGUGACCGGCCACAUUGGGCCUGAGAUACGGCCCAGACUCCUACGGGAGGCAGCAGUGGGGAAUAUUGCACAAUGGGCGGAAGCCUGAUGCAGCAACGCCGCGUGCGGGAUGACGGCCUUCGGGUUGUAAACCGCUUUCGCCUGUGACGAAGCGUGCGUGACGGUAAUGGGUAAAGAAGCACCGGCUAACUACGUG
rnacentral:rRNA from 1 species